ACGGGAGGCAGCAGUGGGGAAUAUUGCACAAUGGGGGAAACCCUGAUGCAGCGACGCCGCGUGAAGGAUGAAGUAUUUCGGUAUGUAAACUUCUAUCAGCAGGGAAGAAAAUGACGGUACCUGACUAAGAAGCCCCGGCUAACUACGUGCCAGCAGCCGCGAUAAUACGUAGGGGGCAAGCGUUAUCCGGAUUUACUGGGUGUAAAGGGAGCGUAGACGGUAUUGCAAGUCUGAAGUGAAAGGCGGGGGCUCAACCCCUGGACUGCUUUGGAAACUGUAGUACUAGAGUGCAGGAGAGGUAAGUGGAAUUCCUAGUGUAGCGGUGAAAUGCGUAGAUAUUAGGAGGAACACCAGUGGCGAAGGCGGCUUACUGGACUGUAACUGACGUUGAGGCUCGAAAGCGUGGGGAGCAAACAGGAUUAGAUACCCUGGUA
rnacentral:rRNA from 1 species